rnacentral:rRNA from 1 species
AGUGAACGCUGGCGGCAGGCCUAACACAUGCAAGUCGAGCGGCAGCACGGUGAGAGCUCGCGCUUACAGGUGGCGAGGGGCGGGCGAGUGAGAAGUACAUCGCAAGCUACUUUUUCUAGGGUCAUAACGGGGGGACACAUACGCUAAUACCGCAUAUGACGUACGGGUGGGAUCAUUGGAUCUUCCGACCUUUGGCGAUUCUAUGAGCCGAUGGCGGAUUGGCUAGGUGGCGGGGUAACGGCCCACCAAGGCGACGCUGCGUAGCUGGUCUGAGAGGAUGAUCAGCCACACUGGAACUGAGACACGGUCCAGACUCCUACGGGAGGCAGCAGUGGGGAAUAUUGGACAAUGGGCGCAAGCCUGAUCCAGCCAUGCCGCGUGUGUGAAGAAGGUCUUCGGAUUGUAAAGCCCUUUUAUUUGGGAAGAAAAGCAGUAGGUUAAUACCUUGCUGUUUUGACGUUACCCAAAGAAUAAGCACCGGCUAACUUCGUG